UACGUAGGGGGCAAGCGUUGUCCGGAAUCAUUGGGCGUAAAGCGCGUGUAGGCGGUUCGGUAAGUCUGCUGUGAAAGUCCAGGGCUCAACCCUGGGAUGCCGGUGGAUACUGUCGGGCUAGAGUACGGAAGAGGCGAGUGGAAUUUCCGGUGGAGCGGUGAAAUGCGUAGAGAUCGGAAAGAACACCAACGGCGAAAGCACUCUGCUGGGCCGACACUGACACUGAGAGACGAAAGCUAGGGGAGCGAAUGGG
rnacentral:rRNA from 1 species